GUUCCCGUGAGUUCUACGCUCCCAGCACCUGAGGCUGAUGAUCCCUGUCUUCUCUCCGUCACCCACAGUCAGGGCGGUUUAGCAAGAGAUCCAGCUCCUGGAUCUGAAAUGUCCUGCCCGGGGUUGAGGAAGAUACCUUUUUUCUCCUAAAGAAACACAGUGAUACGAGCGGCGGAAGGGCGUUUGCGGCCGAACCCGCCGUCUCUCUGGGCGCUGCCCACGCCUGUACCCCUGGCCCCACGUGUCAUGGGCG